GGGGACGGUGGCGGGGGACGGUGGCCGGGAGGCAGUGCUGAGGGCCUCCAGGGGCCUCUGCAGGAAACAGCCCCAGACUCCUGGGGCAGAGGGCCCUCAGCAUCACGUUCACGGUGAUGGAAGUGUAGGACCUUAGCUGAGGCCUCAGGACCUUAAUUUAAUGGCAAUCAGAGCCAAAGCCCGUGGUCUCAGGAUUUGUGUCACAAUGAUUGCUUGUGGCUCUGGAUCCUGUUCCCUGGGAGAAACAGCUGUGUGAGUUGGUUGUUGUCCUGGACUCUCCCCAGGGCAGGUACCUGCACAGGUCAAGUUCCAGCUGGAGCUGGAGAAGCAAGGGGAGGGGACACCCCACCAGUCUCUUCUGAGACCGUGCUGCUCAUUGGCACCAGGUGACCGCCGUGUGGGAGACUCCUACACGCUUAAACAGGUCUCUGCACCCAGAAGGCCGUCGAACUUUCCGGCUGCGAAGGCGGGUUGAGACCUGAGACCCCCUGUAGGUGACGUAGUGAACGGUCGUCGGAAAAAGCUUGGCGCGAACUUGGAGGAAGGUCAUCGGAUCUCGUGGCUAGCGUCAGCGUUCACGUCUGCAAAAUGAAACCGUCGAACAAAGCCUUCAAGGCUGCAUGACGAAGGGGUCCGCGGAGCCACCUCCGAGCCAGGGAAGGACUGGGUUCCGGGGCGUCAGGCUGAGCCCCCGCGGCAGGGCGGGCGGAGGAGGUGACAGGUCGCCAUCCAGUGGAGUAGGCACCCCCCAACCCCAGGGCCCCCGGAGGCGGGACUGUGGUUCUUGGGGUCGUCGGCCCCUCGCCGCCCAGACCCCUGAGGACGGGGACCCCUCAGCCCUUACCUCGAAUUCUGGGACGGCAUUCGGUUCUGCGGCCCUUCGCGUCCAAAGCAGAACCAGGCUCUCCAGCCCGGAGCAGACAGGAGCGACGCUCUAUGUUUUCACUCGGAGAAGCCGAAGUCGAUUCCAGCAGAGGGGCCGGGAGCAGGACGGAGGCCUCGGGCUGCCCGGGGGCCGGAGGGGGCCCCCCCGCUUACACCCUCGCGCCCGCCGGGCGCCUGGGCGCCUGGGCCGUCAACGUCGGGAACCGAUGUUUGAGGGUUUGUUUUGAAUUCUGUGAGCUAAGUGGGCACCGGACAGCGUCACAAUAUGAAACCACGUGUUUCUGCCCAUUUAUUGUCUUUUGAACAAAUACCCUUAGAUGGAAGUUGGAAAGUGGUUUCUAAUUAGAGUGAGAAGAGGGACUAAUUCGGAUUCAUGAGAAAUUAUUGAAAUGAGCAAAAUAUAAUUUGGGUGCAGAGGAAGUAAGUUAUUUAAAUUACCCACAAGGUUAUUUUCCUCAAGACUUAUAAAUUACAAUUAAAUAAGAAACAUCGAGGUCAGGAAAGCUCUUUCCUGAGGUCAUAAAACUUC